GUACGGGAGGCAGCAGUGGGGAAUAUUGCGCAAUGGGCGAAAGCCUGACGCAGCGACGCCGCGUGGGUGACGAAGGCCUUCGGGUCGUAAAACCCUGUCGGGUGGAACGAAUCUCCGCUCUCUGAAUAGGGGAGCGGAUUGACGGUACCACCGAAGGAAGCCCCGGCUAACUACGUGCCAGCAGCCGCGGUAAUACGUAGGGGGCGAGCGUUGUUCGGAUUUACUGGGCGUAAAGAGCGCGUAGGCGGUUCGAUAAGUCGGAGGUGAAAUCCCUCGGCUCAACCGAGGAUCCGCGUCCGAUACUGUCGAACUUGAGUGCAGGAGAGGAGAGCGGAAUUCCGAGUGUAGCGGUGAAAUGCGUAGAUAUUCGGAGGAACACCGGUGGCGAAGGCGGCUCUCUGGACUGCCACUGACGCUGAGGCGCGAAAGCUAGGGGAGCAAACGGGAUUAGAUACCCCGGU
rnacentral:rRNA from 1 species